rnacentral:rRNA from 1 species
GACGUAGGGAGCGAGCGUUGUCCGGAUUCAUUGGGCGUAAAGCGCGCGUAGGCGGCCUCGCAAGUCGGUUGUGAAAUCCCGGGGCUCAACCCCGGGACUGCGUCCGAUACUGCGAGGCUGGAGGUAGGUAGGGGAGAUCGGAAUUCCUGGUGUAGCGGUGAAAUGCGCAGAUAUCAGGAGGAACACCGGUGGCGAAGGCGGAUCUCUGGGCCUUACCUGACGCUGAGACGCGAAAGCUAGGGGAGCGAACAGG